rnacentral:rRNA from 1 species
GACGAAGGAUGCAAGCGUUAUCCGGAUUCAUUGGGUUUAAAGGGAGCGUAGGCGGUCUUGUAAGUCAGUGGUGAAAUCUUCCCGCUUAACGGGAAAACUGCCAUUGAUACUGCAGGACUUGAGUACAGAUGCUGUGGGCGGAAUAUGACAUGUAGUGGUGAAAUACAUAGAGAUGUCAUAGAACACCGAUUGCGAAGGCAGGUCACAAAACUGUAACUGACGCUGAGGCUCGAAAGUGUGGGGAUCAAACAGG